CACGUAGGGGGCGAGCGUUGUCCGGAAUCAUUGGGCGUAAAGAGCUCGUAGGCGGCUCAGUAAGUCGGGUGUGAAACCCCCAGGCUCAACCUGGGGACGCCACCCGAUACUGCUGUGGCUAGAGUCCAGUAGGGGAGUGUGGAAUUCCCGGUGUAGCGGUGAAAUUCGUAGAUAUUGGGAAGAACACCGGUGGCGAAGGCGGGUCUCUGGGCCGAUAUUGACGCUGAGGAGCGAAAGCGUGGGGAGCGAACAGG
rnacentral:rRNA from 1 species